UGUUGGAAUGAAGAAGCAAGAAGCGCAAGCUGAGAAGUGAGUGCAAGAGAAGCCUUGAGAAUGCACAUGGAAGAUCAUGAAAUGUGCAAUGUCCGGGACUGCCUUGAAUCACCCAAAAAGAAGAGAUGUGCAAAAUCUGUGCAAGAGAGUACGAAUCAUGUUGGUGCAAAGAUAGGGAGGGAGUCCCUGGCGCCAAGAAUCUUCUUCAGAAAGUGAUGUGUGCAAAUUGGCGCCUAGACAUCAAGUUUGAAUUCAAAUCAGAUCAGAAGUCACAUGCCAGCUUAAGGACCAAAGAGCUGUUAGGAUAUGUCACUUUCUCUCAUGCUGGACGUGCCAUUCUCUCUCUCCAGCCAGUCUGCCCUUCUGAUUUGCCCAGGAUAAUAUUAUUUAUUCAUUCCCUGAAAUAUUCUUUGUUUAUUGUCUUGUUUGUCUUGUUGUAAAGGCUUUAAAGCCACCCCAUUGUAACCAUUACGAAAUUAAGCUGAAUGGGGGAGUUUCCCCUUUCUUCUUCACCAUUCUCAAGUCUCUUAUACUCUCCCUAAUCUCUGGUUACAAGAAUCUCUCUCAUACUCUCUCAAAUCUCACUUAAUCUCUCUUUUGCUCCAUUGCAGUCUCUUUAAUUCUCACUUACUGUCUUCACUCUGUUCUCUUUCAAUCCGACCACUCUCUGUUCUCAACAACACUCACACACCAUAAUCUGUCUAUUCUUCAUGGUAUCAGAGCUCCAAGCUCCUGAGAAUCCAUAAAGCUUCCGCAAAUCUGUUACAGUUCAUACUUCUCUUCAAAAAUCUCUGUUUCUGUUCAUCCUUGUAUCCUCUGGUCUAAAGCUUUUCCAGGAGGGAAGAGACUCACCAGAACUCAAGAUAAAGGAGGUCUUUAGUAUCUGAAACUCAAAGCUUCCACAAUUCAAGCAUAGGCUCAUCCUCAUUGUUAUUUCAAAUCAUUGGAGAGUUUCUGUCCAGCCAGCUGUUCAAUCUCUUCAAGAGGAAGAAGACUAAACAUGGCGUGUCCAGAGACUUCCCAAGGUCUAUCAUCCUUUCUCCUGUUCAGCCUGAAGAGAUCUCUUGGAGAAAGAAGGUUUUGGAGCUGUUUGGCAAGCAAUGCUCCAAACCAAGUCUGUACAAGUGAUUUUCAAGUUCUUCCCAAAAUGGAGUCUCUCACUGUGUGCCAGAAGGUGGCGCCUGGUAAUCAGGAAGAAAGGAGGGGUCUUAAGCAUGAGUGGUCUAAAGGGAAAGCACACACAAGGAAAUGGCGUGGGGUAGAGAUCCCAAACUCCAAAUCUGUCAAGUUCAAGUGAACAGUGUGCCUUGGAGGUUCAAGGAACCAGCUCAGGUUCCUUGUUUGUAAGUUAACCUCCUACCUUUAAUAAGAGCUUGAGUAGUUAUGUCUGGUUGUGUUGAGUGGUGUGUUUGGUAUCCUUGGGACAGGUUCAAGUUGCUAGAGUUGUUGAACCUAGUUUCUGUCCCAUGAUACUUAAAUUGUGUGUGUUGCUCUGUUUCUUAAAUUAUUUCUAGGAGUUGUCUAGCAUGGUAUUGUUUAGUUCCUGUCCUAGAUUAAUUGUUUCUGUUUGUAUUGUGCUAGGCGAUUGGUUAGCUACUGUCAUUGUCUUGUUGCAUUGAUAAAGGUCUAGGAGAGCCUCCUGAUCUUGUAUUGCAUUAUAUAUAUUGUUCAAGAUGAUUAGAUGAGUUGUUUAGUCUCUGUUUAUUGUCUUUAAAAUUCAUAAAAAGAGCCUAAUUGCCUUGUUAUUGAUGAGUUAUCAUACCUGAGCAGUUAGUGAUGUUAGUAUGCAUGGAGUUGAACUGAAUGAGUUGUUUAGAUUCUGUUCAUUGCAUAUUUAUUUUUAAAACAUUGGGAUCAGACUUGGUGAAUUAUCAAGGGCUGAUCCUAGUGUGUGUGGUCUGAUUCUUGCUGGAGUUUGAGUGAUGUUUCAGGUACACAAGAGGUGAUCUCUGUCCAUCAUCAAACUAAGACAAAGAAGAAGGCAUUGCCCACGUUUUACAGAGCCUCCCAAGAUGGAUAUUCCUGAACCGUGGAGAUUGCCCAGUCCCAAAUCCUAUCUAUGUGUCUGCCCAUUUCCUACCCUGAAGAUAGAAAGGAUGUUGGAGAAUUGGAGAAACUGCUCAGAAGUGACUUACCUGAUGCCAAGAGGAUGUACAGGAGGUGCACUCAAGAGAAAAGGCCAUCACUAAGCCAAGAGUGGCCGGUGGUCAGAGGCAUGGAUCAAGGUGUUUAGUCCUGACCAUGUAAAGAUACCUUGUGAGUAGAACCAGUUGGCUUAAGCGCAGGCGUAGGAGCUGUUGUGCUCCUGGUUCAAGAGACUCAUAAGGAAGGUCAUCACCUAAGUCAUGGGGAGACUGGUGGCCUAAAGACAUUAGAGCUGAAGGAAAAUGGUGAUCCAGUUGGCUUAAGCGCAGAUGUUGGUAUUGUUGUGCUCCUGGAAGAUAGUGAACUGGUUGGCUUAAGCGCAGAUGUUGGUAUUGUUGUGCUCCCAGUUUCAAAACUCAUUGAAGCUCACAUUCAAGCUUGUCCCUAUACUCAGCCAAGCUUGAGGAGGGGAAUCAGUGAGCUACCAGAAGAUCCAUGAAGCUCCUAAGUGUCUCUUUUCCUCAUAGAAGGCCAGCAACAUCUAUGUGUCAAAAUAGAUGAUCAAGAAGAAGAGGUUGCAUGGCGAUUUAAUAAGGAGGGGCCUAAGUGAUCAGUCUGAAGAAGCUGGCACACCCCACCACUCUGACCAGCUAUAUUCAAGGACUCAAGGAGUAUUCAAUCAGGGAAAUUCUUGGCUAAGCAAUCACAUGAUGGUGGCAAAUUAUGGAGUUGAAAAGUGCUGAGCUUCCCUACAUGCUGAAACUUCAAGAGAAAAAUGCAAAGGCUGGUUGAGAGAAGGAAUGGCGUGGAGGAUUCAAGUGCUUAGCAAUCCUCACCAACAUUCAACAAACUGAUGCAAGGGAAGUACCUAAAACCAUUAUUAUUCUUAUGUGUGAAUAGGUUUGCCCCUUGAGAAUUGAUACAUGCAAUUUUUGGAUGAUUGAAUCAGGUACCUAUUGAGCUCAUGAACAAAGAAAAGCUUUGUCUCAACCCUUAAAUGGAGGCAAGAAGCCAAAAGAAAGGGGGAGACAAGCUCAGGUCAUAAGAAGAAGCUCAAAGGUGAUUUGACAGUGAAGCAACUGGCGCCAAUCCAAGUCGUUCAUUGCCUCACCUCUGAUCAAAAUUGGAGUUUGCAAGUGGUGGAUUCACUCUUGCAUUACUCAGUACCAACCGGGUCAAAGAAGCUCAGUUCCAAGUGUGUGAUUGAACUUCCAUAAUCCGGACUGUGUCUUACCAAGUGUGGAUUCAAUUGGAGUCCACUCCUGGCCAUUCUUAUAAAAGGGAAGCACCUUAAACUCAUCUCAAUACAUUCAUGAUUGUCCUUAUACUUAAACUAUUAUUGAGUUUGAUGUGAUGAGUGCAUUUCCUUAAGAACUGAUGCACUUUUGAAAUGAUGCAUCAGGUACCAAAAUAAGCUUGAGCCUCACUGAAGAUGAUGAUGAUGAUCCGGUCAUGUCCUAGCAUUUCUAAGAUGGCCAAAGAAGUCAGUCUAGAGGGGGAGAUCCUAACCGAGUCUAUGGUUCCAUGAAGAGGUCAAGCCAAGUUCUAAAGAACAAGUAACUUUGCUGGGGGUUCAGAGAAGAUGGUCUGGUCGUUUCCUUGCCUUCCUAAGGUGGCUUGAAGCCAGUUGAGAGGGGGAGACCCUAAACCGGACACAAAAUGAUCCAGCCGGCUACUUGUGCUCAAGGAUAGCAAGUUAUGGUGAUUCAUACUUGCUAUACCUAUUAGGCCACGAUCCAGAGCCUAAGGACUCCACCAUGAUGAAUCUGAAGUUCCUUAGGCUCACUGGCCAAUCCCUAAGCUUUGUGGAAACUCCACUCUUUUUCCCUUAGCAAGUUUUGUCCCAAUGGGUUUUCUUGCUAAGGUUUUUAAUGAGGGAGCUUCUUCAAGGUUCCAAGCUUGUCCAAGGAUCUCAUAUGGUCAAGCUUGAGGGGGAGUGUUGGAAUGAAGAAGCAAGAAGCGCAAGCUGAGAAGUGAGUGCAAGAGAAGCCUUGAGAAUGCACAUGGAAGAUCAUGAAAUGUGCAAUGUCCGGGACUGCCUUGAAUCACCCAAAAAGAAGAGAUGUGCAAAAUCUGUGCAAGAGAGUACGAAUCAUGUUGGUGCAAAGAUAGGGAGGGAGUCCCUGGCGCCAAGAAUCUUCUUCAGAAAGUGAUGUGUGCAAAUUGGCGCCUAGACAUCAAGUUUGAAUUCAAAUCAGAUCAGAAGUCACAUGCCAGCUUAAGGACCAAAGAGCUGUUAGGAUAUGUCACUUUCUCUCAUGCUGGACGUGCCAUUCUCUCUCUCCAGCCAGUCUGCCCUUCUGAUUUGCCCAGGAUAAUAUUAUUUAUUCAUUCCCUGAAAUAUUCUUUGUUUAUUGUCUUGUUUGUCUUGUUGUAAAGGCUUUAAAGCCACCCCAUUGUAACCAUUACGAAAUUAAGCUGAAUGGGGGAGUUUCCCCUUUCUUCUUCACCAUUCUCAAGUCUCUUAUACUCUCCCUAAUCUCUGGUUACAAGAAUCUCUCUCAUACUCUCUCAAAUCUCACUUAAUCUCUCUUUUGCUCCAUUGCAGUCUCUUUAAUUCUCACUUACUGUCUUCACUCUGUUCUCUUUCAAUCCGACCACUCUCUGUUCUCAACAACACUCACACACCAUAAUCUGUCUAUUCUU
rnacentral:lncRNA from 1 species